GCGGAGCGCGCGCUCGCCCCCCCCCCUUCCCCUUUCCCUUUUCCCUUUUCCCGCCUCCUUCCCUCAUUUCCCCCCCCUUCAUCCCAUGGACAUGGCACGGCCACCUUAAAGCGCCGCGCCGCCCCCUCCUCCCCCGAUCGCCGGGGCCGCUAUGAGUCAGGUGUGAAGCCCCCGCCGGGAGGAGGUCGUUCCCCUCUCUGGCUGCAGCCCUGACGCUGGGAUUUUCCUUUUUUUGGCUUUUUUUUUUUUUUUUUUUUCCGGCCCCACCACCUCCCUCCUUCCCUCCCUCGCUCCCUCCCUCCAGGAAUCCAGCGCUGCACCGAAGCCAGAAGAGAGGGAGCAAAACCCAGCCCAGGCCGAGAGCUGCGUCCAGAAACCAAACCCGCCCUUCGCGUCGCAAAGGAGGAAUUUUUUUUUUAAUCAUUAUUAUUAUUAUUAUUUUUAUUUUUAAUACCCCUGACCCGAGCACGGUGGCGGCAGCGGCGCCGGGGCAGGGAGGCUGUCCCGGUUAUUUAUUCUCUCCCCGCAGAGCUGUCCCUCCGGCUCACCAUGAUGUUCCGAGACCAGGUUGGCGUGCUGGCCGGGUGGUUCAAGGGCUGGAACGAGUGCGAGCAGACUGUUGCGCUGCUCUCCCUGCUCAAACGCGUCAGCCGGACCCAGGCUCGCUUCCUCCAGCUCUGCCUCGAGCAUUCCCUGGCAGACUGCACCGAGCUCCACAUCCUCGAAGGGGAGGCCAACAAUCCCGGAAUCAUUAACCAGUGGCAGCAAGAAUCCAAGGACAAAGUGAUCUCCCUCUUGUUAACCCACCUGCCUUUACUGAAGCCUGGCAACAUCGAGGCGAAAGUCGAGUACAUGAAACUCUUGCCCAAAAUCCUGGCGCACUCCAUCGAGCACAACCAGCACAUCGAGGAGAGCAGGCAGCUGCUCUCCUAUGCCUUGAUACACCCUGCCACCUCCCUGGAGGACAGGAGCGCCCUGGCCAUGUGGCUCAACCACCUGGAGGACCGCACGUCGUCGUCGUCAUCGUCGUCGUCGUCGGGGGGCUUUGGCGGGCAGGGCCGGGGCCGCUCGGACUCGCUGGACUACGGGCAGGCUCACUACUAUCACCAAAGACAGAACUCGGAUGACAAACUCAACAAUGGCUGGCAGAACUCCAGGGACUCCGGCAUCAGCGUCAGCGCCUCCAGCUGGCAGGACAAAAACCUGGCCUGUGAGAACGGCCACCUGCCCCUCUACUCCUCCUCCUCCGUCCCCACCACCAUCAACACCAUCGGCACUAGCACAAGCACCAUUCUCUCAGGCCAGACACACCACAGCCCUUUGAAACGCUCUGUGUCCCUUACCCCACCCAUGAAUGUGCCAAACCAACCUCUAGGACAUGGAUGGAUGUCUCAUGAGGACUUACGAGCUAGAGGACCCCAGUGCAUCCCUUCUGAUCAUGCCCCCCUGUCUCCACAAAGCAGUGUAGCCUCUUCAGGAAGUGGUGGGAGUGAACAUUUAGAAGAUCAGCCUUCUGCUCGUAACACAUUCCAGGAGGAAGGGAGUGGGAUGAAAGAUGUCCCAGCCUGGCUGAAGAGCCUCCGGCUGCACAAGUACGCCGCCCUCUUCUCCCAGAUGACCUACGAGGAGAUGAUGGCCCUCACUGAAUGCCAGCUCGAGGCACAAAACGUUACCAAAGGCGCGAGACACAAAAUUGUCAUCAGUAUCCAAAAGCUAAAAGAGAGACAAAACCUGCUCAAAUCUCUAGAAGGGGACAUCCUGGAAGGUGGCAACUUGCGUGUCCCGCUGCAGGAACUGCACCAAAUGAUCCUCACCCCCAUCAAAGCCUACUCCUCCCAAAACUCCAGCACGGAGGAGCACGGCCGAGACGUGGACUCGCACCACCCCCACCCCUCCUCCCUGCUGGGCUCGGACAGGGACAGGGACAGCCAAGGCUCGGAGUGCAAGGACUCCGCGGCCGCCGGGAUGCAGCAGCACCAUCUGCCGGGAUGCGAGGGCGAGUCGGGAGGGGCCCCUUUGCCCGAGGGCGACCUGCCCGGGCAGUUCACCCGAGUGAUGGGGAAAGUCUGCACACAACUUUUAGUUUCCCGACCUGAUGAAGAGAAUAUAAGUUCCUAUUUACAGCUCAUAGACAAAUGUCUAAUCCACGAGGCGUUUACAGAGAUCCAGAAGAAGCGGCUGCUGUCAUGGAAACAGCAGGUGCAGAAACUCUUUCGGUCUUUCCCUCGGAAAUCCCUCCUGGAGCUGUCGGGCUAUCGGCAGCAGAGGAGCCGAGGUUUUGGCCAGUCCAACUCGCUCCCGACCGCCGGAUCCGCGGGGGCGGGGCUGGCCCGGAGGAACCCCCGGCAGUUCCAGAUCCCCUCCCGCAACCUCCCCACGGCCCGGCUGGGGCUGCUGGGCCCCACGGGGCUGCUGGGCACCCCCCAGCGCAGUCCUGCUGCCAGCCCUGCCAUCCUCAAGCAAGGCAGACAGAACCUGUGGUUUGCCAACCCUGGGGGCAGUAACAGCAUGCCCAGCCGGAGCCACAGCUCGGUGCAGAGGACGCGCUCGCUGCCGGUCCACACGUCCCCGCAGACCAUGCUGAUGUUUCAGCAGCCAGAGUUCCAGGUACCGGUGACUGAACCUGACAUCAACAACAGGCUGGAGUCCCUGUGCCUGAGCAUGACGGAGCACGCACUCAGCGGUGAGCAUUCCCUCCUCCUGGGGCUCUUCCAGCACGUCCACGCCUCCUCUGCUGAGCCCCCCAGCACCUGCCCCUGCCCCGUGCCCCCCAAAAGCUGGGACAGGCUGUGGCUGUGAGAGCGGGACGGAGCUGGAUGCAGGGAUGCUCCCAGGGGUGCUCCCAUGGGAACGUUGGCUUCUCUCGGCGAGGCGGCCGGGGCAGGGGGCAAAGCAAAGGGAUUGCACCAGCUCUAGUGGAGUCUGUGCUAAUUAGCCACUCUUCAGCUUGCUAAUGAUAAUUAGUGUUAGCUCGCUACUCUAGUUAGCUCUCGAUAAAGCCCCCACCGCCAGCGCGCUCGGAUGGGUCACGGCUUUGGAGCGUUGUGCCCUCCUGCCACCGGAUCCCUCCUCUGGCCGGGGGUGCCCCACAGCUGGGGGCUGAAUCCCUGCCAGGCUGUGCCAGGGGCUGUGCCGGGCGCCGUGCCCUGGUGCUGGCAGUCCUCACACAGCCAGGGGUGCCAGCGGAUAACGGGCACGGGGAGGGAGGAGGACAGGGCAAAAACAAGCAGGGAAGAUGAAAAGGCGGCAGCAGCAGCAGCAGCAGAGCAGUGGAGAGCCCGGUGCAGCACAGAGCCCCGGCUGUCACCAGAAGCUCCCGGUGUCCCUUGCUGACGCUCUGGAGCCCCAGGCACAAGGGAUGGCCCUGGCGAUGGGACGAGCGCGGCCGCCGGCGUCGCCCGGAGCCCCCAGUGACCAGCUCUGGUCUCGCUGCGGAAAUCCUGGACCGUGACCCAUGGUUGAGAACAGGAGCCCUCGGAGAGGACGAGUGCCACCAGGCUCCCUGCAGAUGCAGCAGCCCUUCCUGGGGAGAGGAACGGGAGAACAAGGACUGUGGGAAGCAGCAGGGCCCUGGCAGCAUCCCUGGCUGGGAAAACAAGGACACUUCUGUCACCCGAAGCGUUUCUCCGGCGUGUGCCCAGCCGAGGCUUAGCUGUCUUGUUCCUCUGCAGGAUGGUGUCGACAGAACCUCCACGAUCUAGAAGGCGUCGCCACGGGGACGCUGGGCGGGACAACAACUGCUGCGGGUCCAGCGGCGAGGUCGGGGCUUGAGGGAGCCUCAGCGAUAGCUUGCAUCCUUUCUCCUCUCUCCUCUCCUCUCCUCUCUCUCUCUCUCUUCUCCUGUUUUAAUUUUGUGAAUGUGUAGAUUGUCCUUGUGAACAUAUCAUUAGACUUGGAAUUUGUGUUGUCAUUUAUUACAUCCAUGCUAAGGGGGGGAAAAAGAUGGCAAAGAAACAAAAAUCUCAGCGACGACGAUGAAGCAGCGUGGGGAGGUUGGGGCAGACAUGGAGGAGGAGGAGGAGAAGGAGAGUGCUGACAAUGGAGGGUUCACCGUGGGCAAACCCUGCUCCUGGAGGAGGAUACCAAGGAGCACGGAACACCACGUGGGGGUGUGUGACCAAAAACCCUCUGGGGAGGAUUCACUGCCCUGCCAGGGGCUCCGGGGCCGGCAGUCCCGUCUCUCGAGUUUCGCCGCUUUUGGGUGUGGGCAGACCUGGCGAGCCCAGAUUGAAACAGAAAUAAUAAAAUAACCCCAAAAGUUCCUUUCAGUGUAGCCAAGAGAUCUGCAGUGUGGAGGCAGCGUUGUGCUCAGGGCAGUGCAGGGUCAGGGGGUGCCCGUCCCUGCACCCCAGUUGGAUUGGGAUGUGGGAUGGAGCGGGGGCAUCUCGCCCAGAGGAGGGUCCCAGGGGGAGUCUGUGAACUGGGGGACACUGGGAGAGUUUCCUGCAUCCUGGCUCCACACAUCUGGCCCAGCCUGCCCAAAUCCAGCUGUAAAGGGCUUUUCCAGCAUGGCCAAUGAGGGAUGAAGGAGCCCCCAUAUAAAACCUAAGUCAUAAAGGGCACCAAAAGGCAGCUUCACAGCCUUGUUUUCUUGGCAUUAACCGUGGGGCUGGCAGGGGCUAGGCUGCCCCUCACCCACUGCUGCUUUUUAUAACAGGAGCUAAGUUUGGUGUUAAAUUGGUACAUCUGACCCAGCACUGCUUUGAGCUGCAGUGAUGCUCCCCCCGGUCCCAAUGCUGCUCCGAUGGAACUCCUCCAAUGGAAUAUUAUUCUUAUUAUUAUUAUUCCUGUUAUUAUUCCUCCGAUGGAAUAAUAACAAAUAUAAAAUCAAUUAUUUGAGCUGAUGGGUUGCAGCAAUAUUUCCAAAAUAAGCUGUGAGGGCAUGGGCAGCAUUGUGUGCCAGGAUUAGAGGGUGCAGGGCUCAGGGGGAGCCAGAGCAUGGGCAGGGCUGGGAAAUGUGUGAAUCCUUUUGUCAUGCAGCGUUUUUAAGUUGUUUUUCUAAAAAAAAAAAAAAAAAGAAUUAUAUCUAUAUAUAUAUAUAUGUAUACAAAAACCCAAGUGCCAAAUGCAAUGUUUUAUGUUUGCUGUUCCUUGGUGUCCUGCUUCCCGGCAGACAGGAGGUUGAGGGGGGAGAUGGGGAGGGUGGAGAAGGGAAAACCUGAAGGCCAGGGAGGUUGGGAAGAGGUGUGAGGAGGUGAAGGCAAAGCAGGGUUGGCGCUGGGGACCUGGGUCACCCCCAAGCACCCCCAGCUUGUGAGGUGUGAGCAGAGCCACCGUGGCAGGAGCCUCCCUCAGGGAGACUCCAGUGUAUUUACAGAGCUGAAAUUCUAUUUAUUCUUUCGCUGACUAUGGACACGGAGGUUUUCUGAUUGUUCAGAGAGAUUAUUUUGGAUAUUUUACCUAUUAACUUGCUGUGGCUGGGAACCAUGAUAAUGUCUGUUAUUAACAACCACCAAAUAAUUCAAUUGUUUUAUCCUUUUGAUGUUAAAAAAAAAAGAAAAAUAGCUUAUUUUCCAUUGACAGUCUAGAGGUCAAUAACGACUUAGUUGUGUUUGCUGUUUCUUGUUUUGUUUUUUGAGUAAAAACAACAAAAAAGUGGCUUCAGUUGUGUUCGGGAAGUGCUGCCUGGCUCUGCCUGCCGGUGCUAAGUGCGGGUGGCAGAGCUCCAGGGAAAGAAGCUUAAAAGGGGUGGGGGGGAAUAAAAAAAGCUUGAAUCCUAAAAGAAAUAAUAAAAGUUAUUUAUAGAAAGAAAAAAAAAAAAGCAAAACCUCCUCCGACAGUUGCAUGAGCGAGGCUGUGAAGUCAAAUCUUCAGUAAUAAAGCGGCAGUGCCUUUCUUUUUGUAUCUGCGCUCUCCCCGCUGCGACUGUCCCCUCCCGUCCUGUCGGAGAUGUCGCCGCCGCGGGGUCCCGGGGGUCGGGCGGGCAAAUCCCCCCCGUCCCGCUGCCCCCCAGCGCCGCCGGGACCUUCUCCUGGUGCUGUUCCCCGGCCAGCCCAGCGCACACGAGUGGCCUUGGGCCCGGCGGAUGCGACACCCGCGGGGACACAACCCUGUCCCUUCAGUGUCCCCAUGGCCAGGGACACUCCGAGCUCGGCUGCGCUGGAGUUGAGCUCAGCUCAGCAAAACCCUCCAAGGGGUUUAGGGGUGGCCGAGCCCGGGUCGGGCUCCAGCAGGAAAAUCCCACGAGCUGGGUCAGCACUUAGGGAAGUUGAUUUGUGUUGUCACCUUUUCUCCAUGUCGGGUUUGGCUUUCGGAAUGUGCCUGGUGGAAAGUGGGUGGGUCCCGCAGACGUCUAUAAUUUGCACACAGCGACGAUAACACUAAAGUUGAUUUUAUACGAGUCAUCAGAGUUUGCAAAGUGAGUUUUAUUUUUUGUAUUCCUUUAUCUUUACUUAAAGGUGAAUGUGUAUUCCUCUGGGAGGAAUAGGAAGAAAAAAAAAAAAGAAAAAUACAUUAAAAAAACAGGAAUGUUAAUAAUGUUAAACAGAAUACUUCCUCCCUUAUUAAUAUAUAUAACCCUGAUGUAUUUAUGCCUAUUGUAAGCUGACUUUAAAGAGCUUUGACCUCUCUUCUGUUGCAUGCCGUUCCCGGGCAGCCUCUCCUUGUCCAUGCAUGCCUUUUGUCCUGGUUUUUCUGUACAAAGUUAGUGCACAAAAGAACUAUUUUUGCCUAGUUAAUGUUGCCGAGCAAUGCCUAUUUUUAAAAUUUUAAUUUCUUUUUUUUUCUUGGUUUUUUUUUUUUUUUUUGGUCAUAUAAGGCAAUAGCAUGUUUGUUACAUGUAAAAGCUUCCCGAUAUAAAGAAGUACUAAUGUUUGGAGAUGCCAGUCUUUGCAAGUGUACAGUUUUCCAAUGUUGUUCCCAGUGAAACACCCUCGUGAUUUCCACUUGCUCCGAUGUAUUUAUUACUCAUUUCCUCCCGUGUAACUAGGAACCAUGGCUAUAUUUCAUAUCUGCUCUAUAUUGAAAGUGAAGGGAGAUGAUUAAUACAAGGUUUUGUAACA